UGUAGUCACAGCCACGCGAUCCCGGACCGGGUCAGGUUGGAAAGGCGCCGCAGGACACCUGGUCCAGCCUCCUGCUCCAAGCGGGCCAUCCUGGAGCACACGGCACGGGAAUGCGUCCAUGCCGUUCUUGAGCAUCGCGCAGAAGGCAGACUCCGCGGCCUCUCCGGGUCACCCGGGCAGUAAAGCUCUUCCCCCUGUUCAAGUGGAACUUCCUGCGCACCAGUUUCUGCCCUUGUGUUCUGCUGCUCUCGGCACCGCUGAGCGGAGCCCGGUCCGUGCCCUGACCCCUCCCUGCAGACACUGACAGCCCUCGGUGAGGUCCCCUCUCAGUCAUCUCCUCUGCAGGCUGAGCAUGCCCAGCUCGCCCAGCCUUUCCUCGCAGAGAUACUCCAGCCUCUUAAUUGCUUUUGUCACCCUCCGCUGGACCCGCUCCGGGAGCUCCACGUCUCUCUUGCGCUCAGGAGCCCAGAGCGGGACACGGCACGAUCCGCUCGCCCUGCUCCGCUGCUCUCCUCGCAGCAUCCAGCCCGCACCGCGUACCGGGAUGUCUGUCCGGGACAGGAGCCGGGACACACCCGGGAGCGGGAGGUGCAAACGGGAGCGAAGGAGCCGCACCGCGGCGAUCCAGAGUACCGGCGCUCCUCUAUACUUUUCAUUUUACUGGCAUAUCGGGGUUCCUGGAUCCUGGUGGUGGAGUGAGAUCCUGCCAGGGAUGACAGCCAGUUUGGGCAGGCAGCGUGGACCUUGCAAGGGAAGGAAGAGGCAAGAUGGGCUCCUCGCUGACCCUCAGCUGUCAGACACAGCCCGCACGAUGCUCCUGGGGCUGCAGGGACAGGAUGCAUGCGAGGGACAGGUAAGGCCGGAUAGAGCCUAUGUGUUAUUCCCCCUUUUCCCCAUUACUGGUGGCAGGAUUCCAGAGACCUCCAGGCCCCUGUAUCCCAUCGCCGGGCUGUGCAGAAGCUGUGCACACCCGGCAGCGUGCGGUGGGGCUGCUGGAUUCAGCCUCAUGUAGCCCUGAUGUGGCACAGGAGCCACCAUCCAUCCACAGAGCAGUGGUGGCUGUGAGCUUUAUUCUCACAAAGACUGAAACCCACCCUAAGCUCAUGCCUCAGAGUCAAAGAACUAUGACAAUGUUGUUCAGCUCUGAGAAAAAUGCUAGAAGGCAGCAUAAGGAAAUUUCCCACCAUCUAUUUCUUCCAGCAACAUCGCUGUGUUGCAGAGAAAGGGCAAUGUGUAACAAAAAAGCAGCUACCAACAGAGUAAGAAAAAAUAUCUUUGUUAUUAUGAAUACAUCAUAAAAUCACAGUCAUCUUAUACACAUUUUAGUAUUUCAUAUAUAAAUAAAGUGAACAGUAUAGUUAUUGGAAUGUGUAAAAGGAACAAACAUACGGAUUUUUUAAAAUGUGAAAUUAAUAGAGAAUUGGACCCCACCCCACCUUUUGAUGCUGCUCUGGGACUUGGUACAUUAACUCUGAAAUACUUCUAGGCAGAAGGCUAUGCAAGCUGUGAUGCUAACUGUAACCCCAGGCAUUACCCUAAUGCCAUUUACCAUCAUUUUUCCUCUCAUUUUCCCAAUUUAGCCUGACUGUAUAGGAAUUCUUGUGUCAGAACUACAGUUUUGCAAGAAAGACUAAACCUUUACGUACUUGGCACAGUGUUGAAAGCAAACAUUUUUCAAGAUUCAUGAUUUUAUUAAACCCAUUAACAAUCAGAAUUUUCUCAUCACUACACACUCUUGCAAAUUUCCCAUUAAAUAUAUUUCUAAUAUUAAUAAAAUAACAAAUUCUUUAUUAGCCUUCUGCUUAUAAUUUGAUGUCUUAACAUCAAAAUAAUAUUUCUUUCUAAUAAAAUUAUACAUACCAUUUAUAUGAAACAAAGUUGUCAUGUGCAUGAGCCUGGUAAUGAGACUAGCCAUGAGUGUAGAAGUUUCUACUUUCUUGUUUUGGGUUCCUGGGAGAGUUUGUUAUUUUUGGAGCCACAGAGUAAUAAAUAAUUUGCAAGGUAAUGGCUUCUCUGGCUACCACUAACAAAACUUAACAUUGAAAAUAAUUCCUCUGCUCUGGCUUUAUGAAACAUUGGAUAUGCUGAAAAAAAUUACUCUUUCCGAGUCCUUAUGUGUUUACCCCAAAAUCUGAAUGAAAUGUUGCUGAUACAGUGUUUUAUGAGUUAUGACACAGGUAGUCAGAAAUGAGAAAGUUCCAUACAAAGAGGUGGAUGCAGACUGAAGGCUGACCCUUCCCAGCCAGGUGUGCUCAGAGGGACUCUCCCUGCUGCAGGAAUUCCUAUGCCGUGUUGGGUGGUCUUUGCCAUAGUGUCCCCUCCUUGCUGCUGUGACUCAAACAGUUUUGAGGGUAAGGACAAGGACAAACCCAAGGAACACAUUCUGUCAUCUUUUUUUAAAGUACUGUGAAAGCCAAUGAUGUAAUCUCCAGAAAGGGAAGUCAUUGAGGUUUCCAUUCAGAAAGGCAUGUAAACAUGUGCUAUGUUUAUAUUUAUGAUGCUCUACUUACAGUGAAAUAUGUAUUUUAUCUGCUUUUCUGGUCCACUCUCAGCUUUUCCCUGGGCACUUUUACACAUCAGGGGAGUUGUCACCUCUCCCUGAAUUUGAUGGUUAAACUGUGAGAACUUCUCAUUUGGUAUGUGCCUCUAUUUGGAAAAGCAGAACUUAGAACUAAAAUAAGUGCCUUUUUUAGAAUACAUCACCUUGUGGGCAGCAGGCAAUAGAAUUCAGUUUAUAUGUAGGAAGUGAUUCAUCUAACAUAAGUUAGGUCAUUCAGUAGCUGAUGGUCAAAAACCUGCAUCUACUAAUUCUCCAGUGGGAACCAGCCCAAUCUAGCAGGGUGCAGUAGUAAGCAUAUGCAAGGGCUCUGUAAUUUGCUAGAUUUAAAAAUAUAAUAUUUGACAUUUAACAAAUUAAAUUACAAUUGCAUAUUCAUAAAUGAUGUAAUUUAUACUCAGUUGCCUGCUUGAAAUUAAGAAAACAAGACACAAAUGCCUCAAUUCAUGUUAUAUUUGAGGAUUUUUCCAGCCUGCUGCAUAGAAGACCAUCCCUCUUUUGGACACAGGUACCUUUCUAAAGUCUCUUUUUUAUGUGAUUCACAAGAUUACUUGGGUCUGCAGCUGCUGGCAGAGCUCCUCCCAGACAGAGGAGAAGCCCAAGGGCCACAGGUUUAGACUACUAUAAUUUUUUUCAGCUAUCCCCACAAUUUAGGUAUUGCUUUUUAAGUACUGAUAAGGAUAUAACAUGAAAAGAGAUACAGAACACUCAUGUUCUUAGAAGCUAAUGCCCUGGCUUGUGGCUUAGUGGCAGUGAGAUGCUGGAAACAGCCACAGCAAUGAACACAUCCUCUUAAGACAAUACACAGAAGUUAUGGAAAAGUCUAGACAGCCAACUCUUUAUACAACAUGACCUGUGCUGAUGCUGUCUGGAUUACACCAACUAUCCUUUGGCCCAGAGAAUAUGGAAGGGAAUACAAACCUUUACGUAUUAUCUGAAAAGGCCCUUCUUGUAUUUUUACCUGUAUUUAUUCUACUGGAACAUGCAAAUGCUGAAAAAUAUGGCAAAAUAACAACUUUUUCUUUGCAUUUAUGACAUGGACACUACCAAACACUAAACAUACGGUAGAAGUAGCAGCUACACAGACACAACAUUGAAAUUUUGUGCUUAAUGUACUCCUUUAUAUUCUAAGCACGGCAAAGUCCUCAGCAGCUGUGGUAAUCCAAAAGAAAUGGCAACAUACAUCAUCCAUGAGGUAUGGUAUAACUUGUGCAUCCAAUUUUCCAGUGUAAAUAAAGGGCACUCCCUUUUAUCCCCAUUCACAAGUAUAGGAUCCCAUGUGCAGUACCUCACCUUAGCCAUCCUCGUACCAGUUGAAAUGUUUUGUCAUGUGCACUCCUGCACCUACACACACUCCUCGUACACCCAGCCCAACAUGCUGCCACUCUGUGUUCCAGUUUGGUGAAAGACUCUAAGGUUGGUCUCAUGCAGCAGAGGAAGAAAACAGGUGGAAGCUCUUUGCAAACAUGAGGCCUCUCUCUGGUCUGGAUUUCACUCACACUUCAGAAUUUCACCAAGGAAGAUAUGCACCUGCAGGAAGUCAGAACCUGACUCUUUCUGCAAAGCUGGGGUUUAUUUUGUUCUUGCCAAUAAGCCUGCUUGUUUCACUUAGAUUUGGUUUCCUGCUUUAAACAUCCCCUUUAUCUUGCUUAUUGUUGUAUAAUGUGUCCGACUUGAAUCUGUUGAGAAAGCAAACUGGCCUUCACACUGAGCAGUGGGACAAUGGUAAAGAAAAAGUAGUGUUUAUGUGUGUCCUAAAGUAGUUUAGGCCACACACAUCUUUUGACUGUCUCUGAACAAUACUCUAGCAACACAAAGCCAAAUAAUUUCCCAACCAAGCAGCAGCACCCUUGUUUAACCCUUCAAUGUACUUUUUUUUCUGCCUUUUUCUGCCUUGAUGGGGCAUGAUAGAGGACAUGUCUCACAGAUGGCCUCUGCUGUG